CACCCAGUCCUGGCCUGGCCGGAGGCCCACGGGAGUCGGCUUGCAACAAGCCAGGAGCUUUCAUGGGUAUAUGCUCUGUGCCUCUGUGAGUGGGGGCAGGCAAGCUCUGGACCCUGAGGGAAGAGCGCCCCUAACUCCUCCUGCCUCUCUCAGAUCAGACACCCUCCCUCUAGUUCCUCUGACUGGACUCUGAAAUUCCUUUCAGUCUGGGUAGCAAAGGAGCUAGCCCCAGAACUUGAGGAAACCAGAAGUUAAGUCAAUGGAGCCCUUUACCAAAGUUCCCAACAAACACAUUUCCAGUGAGAUGCUUCAGAUACACUCUAACCUCCACAAGACUUUCUUCCUCUAAUAAGUUCUUCUAAUUUUCUGGCUGUUGUGCAACUGUAGCCGAUAUCAAUGAAUGAGCAUUUUGAUUUCACAGAUGUUAUCUCUUUUCCUGGUCUCUGCUGUGGAACCCCGUAUUCCAACUUCCCCUGCCUCUAUGAGGGUGCUCCCCCAUCCACCCACCCACUCUUGCCUUACUGGGCAAAUAUUACUUAAAAGACAUGGGUAAAUAAAAUAAUCUCAAUUAUGAUAGUGUAGAAUGUGACACUCUAGGCAUUGUCCUGGCCCUCUUGAGUUAUAAGCAGCUGUAAUUACCUGAAGAAGACCUACACAGCCUUAGGCUCAUCUAUUUCUGCCCUGGACAAGGAGGGGGCACAGAAGCACCCCAUUCUAGGAUUUCUAGGUAGUUAAUAGUUAUUUAGACAAAUAGAUUCAUCGGGUAUUGUUGCCAGCCAUUUGUUGCCCAUGCCACUGUAACUAAUCCCAAUUAAAAUCAUUGGUUGACCAAAGCACA